GAUCGGAUCGGAUCGUCUGUCUGAAACCACCACCACGGCGCGGCGCCGUCCUCUUCUUCGUCUUCCACAUCGCAAUUCUCGCCUAUUUAUUGGAUUCAGCCUGCCAGAUCAAGCACAGCGCACGACUUGAAACAAAGGCAGGCUUUGAGGAGGGAUUCGAGGCGAUGGCGAUGGAUGCUGCGGAGGUGGACCACCUCGCCGCCGAGAGGGCCACCGCGCAGUUCGACGUCGAACAGAUGAAGGUCGCAUGGGCCGGCUCCCGCCACGCCGUCGACGUCGCCGACCGCAUGGCCAGACUCGUCGCAUCCGACCCAGUGUUCCGCAAGGAUAACAGGACCAUGCUCUCCAGGAAGGAUUUGUUCAAGGACACACUACAAAAGGCCGCCCAUGCGUGGAAGCGCAUCAUCGAACUACGUCUUACAGAAGAGGAAGCAAGUUUGCUGAGGCUAUAUGUCGACCAGCCUGGUUAUGUUGAUCUGCAUUGGGGCAUGUUUGUUCCUGCCAUAAAAGGGCAAGGAACUGAAGAGCAGCAGCAGAAGUGGUUACCACUGGCCUACAAGUUCCAAAUCAUUGGAUGCUAUGCUCAGACUGAACUUGGUCAUGGAUCAAAUGUUCAGGGCCUUGAAACAACUGCUACGUUUGAUCCGAACACUGAUGAGUUUGUUAUCCACAGCCCAACUCUGACCUCCAGCAAAUGGUGGCCUGGUGGCUUGGGUAAAGCUUCCACUCAUGCAGUUGUGUAUGCCCGACUGAUAACUGAAGGAAAGGACUACGGCAUACACGGUUUCAUUGUGCAACUUCGAAGCUUAGAGGAUCACUCACCGCUUCCUGGUGUUACCCUUGGUGAUAUUGGUGGAAAAUUUGGUAGUGGUGCAUAUAACAGUAUGGAUAAUGGUGUUCUACGAUUUGACCAUGUGCGCAUCCCGAGGGAUCAGAUGUUGAUGAGGCUUUCACAAGUUACGAGGGAGGGGAAAUAUGUACACUCAGAUGUUCCAAAGCAGCUGCUUUAUGGAACAAUGGUUUUUGUUCGUCAGUCAAUUGUUGCAGAUGCUUCUAAGGCUUUGUCCCGUGCUGUUUGCAUUGCUGUACGAUACAGCGCUAUCCGAAAGCAGUUUGGCUCUCAAGUUGGUGGCCCUGAGACUCAGGUCCUUAAUUACAAGACUCAACAGAGCAGGCUCUUUCCUUUGCUGGCCUCAGCAUAUGCUUUCAGAUUCGUGGGUGAUUGGCUCAAGUGGCUGUACACGGAUGUUACACAGAAACUGGAAGCCAAGGAUUUCUCAACACUGCAAGAAGCUCAUGCCUGUACUGCUGGUCUGAAGGCUGUGACAACAUCUGCAACAGCUGAUGCAAUUGAAGAAUGCCGAAAGCUCUGUGGUGGGCAUGGUUACCUGAACAGCAGUGGGCUUCCUGAAUUGUUUGCUGUCUAUGUUCCUGCUUGCACUUAUGAAGGAGACAAUGUUGUUUUGCUUUUGCAGGUUGCAAGGAUUCUAAUGAAGACUGUUUCUCAAUUGGCUUCUGGAAAACAACCUGUUGGUACAAUGGCUUACAUGGGUAAAAUACAAUAUUUGAUGCAAUGCAAAUGUGCUGUAAAUACAGCCGAAGAUUGGCUUAAUCCUGCUGCCAUACAAGAGGUAUUUGAAGCUAGGGCUCUUAGGAUGGCGGUAAAUUGCGCCCAGAACGUAAGCCAAGCGCCAAGCCAAGAAGAUGGUUUCUAUGAGCGGUCCCCAGAUUUGCUUGAGGCCGCGGUAGCUCACAUCCAGUUGAUUACUGUAACCAAGUUCAUCGAGAAAGUGCAGCAGGACAUUCCUGGACAUGGAGUAAAGGAGCAACUCCAGAACCUUUGCAAUGUUUAUGCACUGUUCAUUCUCCACAAGCAUCUUGGAGACUUCCUGGCGGCUGGUUGCAUCACGCCUAAGCAGGGAGCAUUGGCAAACGAGCAGCUUGGAAAGCUUUACGCCCAGGUGCGGCCGAAUGCUGUGGCGUUGGUGGAUGCCUUCAACUACACGGACCACUACCUGGGGUCGGUUCUUGGGCGGUACGACGGCAACGUGUAUCCGGCGCUGUACGAGGAGGCGUGGAAGGACCCUCUGAACGAGACGGUGGUGCCGGAGGGGUACCACGACUACCUCCGCCCCCUCUUGAAGCAGCAGCUCAACCUGUCGAGGCUGUGACCUGUGUCAUGUCAUUAUGCUAUCUAUGCUGCUCCUCGGAGACUCUCAACCUGAAUCUGAAUCUGAAUCUGAAUGAGUGGAAUAAGAGAGAUUCUACUCCAAUAUGAGUUGUAUGAAAAAAAAUUUCAAUGUUAGCCUUUCAUUUUUGCUAUAUACUCUUUUUUAUACAUAAAAGAAGUAUAUACGCAAAUUAUGAUAAAAAUCAUGGAAUUUCAUAAAAAAUUUUGUGGGAUUUC